UUUAACUCCCAAAUCUCAGCGCGGUAACUCUCUUCUUUUUCUAACCACUGCUCUCGCGAUAUUUCAACAAAAUCUUGGGCGUGAGGUAUUUUGGCUGGUCUCUGAUGUUCAAGCUCUUUCUUGGACCAACUGAGGUAAUUUGGUGCGAUUUCACCCCUGACCCGAUCCGGCACACAAGUAUUUGCUUUUAAGCAUUGACCUUCGUUCCAUAAUUGGCGAACUUUUGCUUCAGGAAAU
rnacentral:lncRNA from 1 species